rfam:Buttiauxella agrestis ATCC 33320 GBAG.assembly.023, whole genome shotgun sequence.
ACGGCUAUGAAUCAACGCAUUGAUUUAUAAGCAUGGAAAUCCCCUGAGUGAAACAACGAAUUGCUGUGUGUAGUCUUUGCCCAUCUCUACGAUGGGCUUUUUUUUGU